ACAGCGGGAGAGAGAGAGGGCACUCCAACCCCGAUUGUGCUUCACAUGCGGCUCCAGCUCCUAACCCACCAACACACAGAGAACCAUCUCAAAUGGCAAAUUACGUGUGAAGCAUCUGGCCCAGUGCCUGGAACAUGACAGAAAGAAAAUAGUUCAAAUAAAUCAGUCUUCUUGUUGCUAAAACAAAGCUUGUAAAACUCCAGAUUGUUCCUCUAAAAUUCCCCUCUCUUCUGAAAGGAAAGGCUGCAGUUCUCAACAGUUUCAAAGUGUAGGCCUGAGGGGUGAUUGGUGGGUAAAAAGUGUGGUGAAGAUCAAGGCUCUUGUAUUUUGGCAUUUGGAGUGGACUUCAGAAAAUUCAACUUUGUGAAGACAAAAUGCAAUGCUAGGCUAGAAAUAAGAGCCAGGACAGCUCCCAAACAAACGUCCUCAGGAGGCAAGGCGGGAACACAACUGCAUGUUAAGAUAGUCACCACAGUCUGCAGCCGAACACCAUGCUGGAAACAACCCAGCUCUCCUCAGCAAAGGACACCUUCUAAGGUGUAGUCAUCAAAGUGCAUGCACCUUUAAAUGAUUUCUAUAAAGAGUUGUACUGUACUGCACAGGGAAGGAUUAAACAGUGAAAAUAUGCAAACCAGGGAAACAAGAUGAUAACAGUUUAGACUGUGAUCUUAUGCAUAUGAAAGCCUAUUUAUUGCAUAUCAUAGUGCAAAUAUAGAAAAUGGUGUGUACAAGUGGCUCUUUCCAGAUGAGGUAGCUUUGCAGACAAGUUUGAAAUAUUUUUUCUCUAUUUUCCUGGUUUUUCUUACUUUUAAUUUUAUAAUCAUAAUGACUGAUGCAUAUGAAUUUUACCAAUGAGUAGAAUUUGUUGUGACAUUUCAUACAUACGUACAUCAUACAUUAAUUAUGUCCAUCUGCCUUCUUUUAUUCUCGGUCCCCUCCUGUUUUAGAGUUUACUUUUUCCUGGAGGGCAAAUCUUGAGACAGGAUCUCACCGGCAACACGGGCUGGCCUUUAACUCACAACCCUCCUCUGUUCCUGCACACUGGUAGAAUGCGCAUGCACAACUACUGCUAGACCCCUUUUUAUAAACAACAGCAACAACAAAAAACAAUAAAUGUGUGCAAUCAAUGUAGUUUGGUAAUGCACUACUCAGGUGAGCAAUCAAUGUGGUUUGUGAUGCACUGCUCAGGUGCAUAAAUGCCCCAUAGUUUUCAUUUUGCCAG